GUGCCUGGAGGGUUAUAUCAGGUCCCCGGCCUCCUCCUGUCGGACUCUUUCCUCCUAAUUCUCCACAAGCCAAAACCUGAGAUGAGUAUCCCUGAAGACUGACCACAGGCCAGAGGCUGAGCCGCUGGGGCAAGAGAAGCAAGUGCAUUAGGCCCAAGCACAACAGCCGUAAGAAAGAGGUACUGUUCCUCCUGCCAUUUUGCAGAUAAGCCUGCUGAGGCUUGAAGUUUUAACAGCCCUUCAGGGUAAGCUGCCAAGUUAGGACCUGCGCCCAGGACCAGCUCAUCCCCAAACUCUUGCUCUAAGCUGCUCUGCCACCAUGUUAACACUAGCUUGUAAGUGUACACUUUCUGAGGCUUCUCCCUCUCAAGUAGCUGGUAACUUUCAAAUAUGUGUGUAUAACAUGUAGUCUCAAGAGGGCCGGGGAUUUAGCUCAGUGGUGCCACCUCCUGCCUCAAAAGCGCAAGGUCCUGAGUUCGAUCUCAGGUAUUAAAAAAAAAAGCAGUCUCAAGAAGUAAGAGUUUGUUCUAUAUCCUUAAGAUACAGAAAUGUAAAUUUAGGAAAUGGGAAUACUGACAUCUGAAAAAUAAAUAAUGGAACCCAACUUAUAGUGUUUCUG